CAGUAGCCGCGGUAAUACGUAGGGUCCGAGCGUUGUCCGGAAUUAUUGGGCGUAAAGGGCUCGUAGGCGGUUUGUUGCGUCGGGAGUGAAAACCCAGGGCUUAACUUUGGGCUUGCUUUCGAUACGGGCAGACUUGAGGCAUUGAGGGGAGAACGGAAUUCCUGGUGUAGCGGUGAAAUGCGCAGAUAUCAGGAGGAACACCGGUGGCGAAGGCGGUUCUCUGGCAAUGUUCUGACGCUGAGGAGCGAAAGUGUGGGGAGCGAACAGGAUUAGAUACCCCUGUAGUCCCUGUCUCUUAUAC
rnacentral:rRNA from 1 species